rnacentral:rRNA from 1 species
GACGAACCGAGCGAACGUUGUUCGGAAUCACUGGGCUUAAAGGGCGCGUAGGCGGGUGCUCAAGUCCGUGGUGAAAUCCUCCGGCUCAACCGGAGAACUGCCUCGGAUACUGGGCGUCUCGAGUGUGGUAGGGGUAUGCGGAACUAUCGGUGGAGCGGUGAAAUGCGUUGAUAUCGAUAGGAACUCCGGUGGCGAAGGCGACUUCCUGGCCUGUUCUUGACGCUGAGGCGCGAAAGCUAGGGUAGCAAACGGG